rnacentral:lncRNA from 1 species
GGGAAUACUUUCUGUUCUAGGUCGCCCACCAGUAAAAUGCGGGAAUACUUUCUGUUCUAGGUCGCCCACCAGUAAAAUGCGGGAAUACUUUCUGUUCUAGGUCGCCCACCAGUAAAAUGCGGGAAUACUUUCUGUUUUAGGUCGCCCACCAGUAAAAUGCGGGAAUACUUUCUGUUCUAGGUCACCCACCAGUAAAAUGCGGGAAUACUUUAUGUUCUAGGUCGCCCACCAGUAAAAUGCGGGAAUACUUUCUGUUCUAGGUCGCCCACUAAAUGCGGGAAUACUUUCUGUUCUAGGUCGCCCACCAGUAAAAUGCGGGAAUACUUUCUGUUCUGGUCGCCCACCAGUAAAAUGCGGGAAUACUUUCUGUUCUAGGUCGCCCACCAGUAAAAUGCGGGAAUACUUUCUGUUCUAGGUCGCCCACCAGUAAAAUGCAGGAAUACUUUCUGUUCUAGGUCCCCACCAGUAUAACGCGGGAAUACAUUCAUGUUUUACAUUCAGGCGCCCACCUGUCCAACAAGAGGAACACCUUUUAGUCUUACGCUGCAGAUUUUGAAAUCAGUAACCCCACUGGAAGGUAGAAGGUUACAACAGGAAUUACCAAGCAGGAA